AUUGAACGCUGGCGGCAGGCUUAACACAUGCAAGUCGAGCGGAGUGAUGGUGCUUGCACUAUCACUUAGCGGCGGACGGGUGAGUAAUGCUUAGGAAUCUGCCUAUUAGUGGGGGACAGCAUCUCGAAAGGGAUGCUAAUACCGCAUACGUCCUACGGGAGAAAGCAGGGGAUCACUUGUGACCUUGCGCUAAUAGAUGAGCCUAAGUCGGAUUAGCUAGUUGGUGGGGUAAAGGCCUACCAAGGCGACGAUCUGUAGCGGGUCUGAGAGGAUGAUCCGCCACACUGGGACUGAGACACGGCCCAGACUCCUACGGGAGGCAGCAGUGGGGAAUAUUGGACAAUGGGGGAAACCCUGAUCCAGCCAUGCCGCGUGUGUGAAGAAGGCCUUAUGGUUGUAAAGCACUUUAAGCGAGGAGGAGGCUCUUUUGGUUAAUACCCAAGAUGAGUGGACGUUACUCGCAGAAUAAGCACCGGCUAACUCUGUGCCAGCCGCCGCGGUAA
rnacentral:rRNA from 1 species